rnacentral:tRNA from 1 species
GGGUGUGGGUGAGUGGUGACCACUUGCUUGGCAGGCACAAGAGGCCCUGGGUUCAAUCCCCAGCACUGCCA